rnacentral:rRNA from 1 species
UUCCGGUUGAUCCUGCCGGAGGCCACUGCUAUUGGGAUCCGACUAAGCCAUGCGAGUCGAGAGGGUUCGGCCCUCGGCAGACUGCUCAGUAACACGUGGAUAACCUACCCUUAGGUGGAGGAUAAUCUCGGGAAACUGAGAAUAAUACUCCAUAGAUCUAGGAUGCUGGAAUGCACCUAGAUUGAAAGCUCUGGCGCCUAAGGAUGGGUCUGCGGACUAUCAGGUUGUAGUCAGGGUAAAGACCUGACUAGCCUACGACGGAUAUGGGUUGUGAGAGCAAUAGCCCAGAGACGAUAUCUGAGACACGAUAUCGGGCCCUACGGGGCGCAGCAGGCGCGAAAUCUUCACAAUGUGCGAAAGCACGAUGAGGGGAUCCCAAGUGCUGGCACGUAAGUGUCAGCUGUUUCUUUGUCUAAAAAACAAAGAGAGUAAGAGCUGGGUAAGACGGGUGCCAGCCGCCGCGGUAAUACCUGCAGCUCAAGUGGUGGCCGCUAUUAUUGGGCCUAAAACGUCCGUAGCCGGUUUAGUAAAUGCUUGGGUAAAUUGUGUAGCUUAACUAUACGAAUACCGGGUAGACUGCUAAACUUGGGACCGGGAGAGGCUAGAGGUACUCCUAGGGUAGAGGUGAAAUUCUGUAAUCCUAGGGGGACCACCAGUGGCGAAGGCGUCCAACCAAAACGGCUCCGACGGUAAGGGACGAAGCCCUGGGGCGCAAACGGGAUUAGAUACCCCGGUAGUCCAGGGUGUAAACGCUGCAGGCUUGGUGUUGGGGGUCCUACGAGGGCGCUCAGUGCCGGAGAGAAGUUGUUAAGCCUGUCGCUUGGGGAGUACGUCCGCAAGGAUGAAACUAAAGGAAUGGCGGGGGGAGCACAGCACGGGUGGAGCGUGCGGU